AGUCAUGGUUAAGUGGGAAACGAUGUGGGAAGGCCCAGACAGCCAGGAUGUUGGCUUAGAAGCAGCCAUCAUUUAAAGAAAGCGUAAUAGCUCACUGGUCGAGUCGGCCUGCGCGGAAGAUGUAACGGGGCUAAACCAUGCACCGAAGCUGCGGCAGCGACGCUUAUGCGUUGUUGGGUAGGGGAGCGUUCUGUAAGCCUGUGAAGGUGUGCUGUGAGGUAUGCUGGAGGUAUCAGAAGUGCGAAUGCUGACAUAAGUAACGAUAAAGCGGGUGAAAAGCCCGCUCGCCGGAAGACCAAGGGUUCCUGUCCAACGUUAAUCGGGGCAGGGUGAGUCGACCCCUAAGGCGAGGCCGAAAGGCGUAGUCGAUGGGAAACAGGUUAAUAUUCCUGUACUUGGUGUUACUGCGAAGGGGGGACGGAGAAGGCUAUGUUGGCCGGGCGACGGUUGUCCCGGUUUAAGCGUGUAGGCUGGUUUUCCAGGCAAAUCCGGAAAAUCAAGGCCGAGGCGUGAUGACGAGGCACUACGGUGCUGAAGCAACAAAUGCCCUGCUUCCAGGAAAAGCCUCUAAGCAUCAGGUAACAUCAAAUCGUACCCCAAACCGACACAGGUGGUCAGGUAGAGAAUACCAAGGCGCUUGAGAGAACUCGGGUGAAGGAACUAGGCAAAAUGGUGCCGUAACUUCGGGAGAAGGCACGCUGAUACGUAGGUGAAGCGACUUGCUCGUGGAGCUGAAAUCAGUCGAAGAUACCAGCUGGCUGCAACUGUUUAUUAAAAACACAGCACUGUGCAAACACGAAAGUGGACGUAUACGGUGUGACGCCUGCCCGGUGCCGGAAGGUUAAUUGAUGGGGUUAGCGCAAGCGAAGCUCUUGAUCGAAGCCCCGGUAAACGGCGGCCGUAACUAUAACGGUCCUAAGGUAGCGAAAUUCCUUGUCGGGUAAGUUCCGACCUGCACGAAUGGCGUAAUGAUGGCCAGGCUGUCUCCACCCGAGACUCAGUGAAAUUGAACUCGCUGUGAAGAUGCAGUGUACCCGCGGCAAGACGGAAAGACCCCGUGAACCUUUACUAUAGCUUGACACUGAACAUUGAGCCUUGAUGUGUAGGAUAGGUGGGAGGCUUUGAAGUGUGGACGCCAGUCUGCAUGGAGCCGACCUUGAAAUACCACCCUUUAAUGUUUGAUGUUCUAACGUGGACCCGUGAUCCGGGUUGCGGACAGUGUCUGGUGGGUAGUUUGACUGGGGCGGUCUCCUCCUAAAGAGUAACGGAGGAGCACGAAGGUUGGCUAAUCCUGGUCGGACAUCAGGAGGUUAGUGCAAUGGCAUAAGCCAGCUUGACUGCGAGCGUGACGGCGCGAGCAGGUGCGAAAGCAGGUCAUAGUGAUCCGGUGGUUCUGAAUGGAAGGGCCAUCGCUCAACGGAUAAAAGGUACUCCGGGGAUAACAGGCUGAUACCGCCCAAGAGUUCAUAUCGACGGCGGUGUUUGGCACCUCGAUGUCGGCUCAUCACAUCCUGGGGCUGAAGUAGGUCCCAAGGGUAUGGCUGUUCGCCAUUUAAAGUGGUACGCGAGCUGGGUUUAGAACGUCGUGAGACAGUUCGGUCCCUAUCUGCCGUGGGCGCUGGAGAACUGAGGGGGGCUGCUCCUAGUACGAGAGGACCGGAGUGGACGCAUCACUGGUGUUCGGGUUGUCAUGCCAAUGGCACUGCCCGGUAGCUAAAUGCGGAAGAGAUAAGUGCUGAAAGCAUCUAAGCACGAAACUUGCCCCGAGAUGAGUUCUCCCUGACCCUUUAAGGGUCCUGAAGGAACGUUGAAGACGACGACGUUGAUAGGCCGGGUGUGUAAGCGCAGCGAUGCGUUGAGCUAACCGGUACUAAUGAACCGUGAGGCUUAACCUU
rnacentral:rRNA from 2 species